AAUAUUGGACAAUGGGGGCAACCCUGAUCCAGCCAUGCCGCGUGUGUGAAGAAGGUCUNCGGAUUNUNAAGCACUUUAAGUUGGGNAGAAGGGCUUUAGGUUAAUACCCUGAAGUUUUGACGUUACCAACAGAAUAAGCACCGGCUAACUCUGUUACAGCAGCCGCUGUAAGACAGAGGGUGCAAGCGUUAGGCGGAAUUACUGGGAGUAAAGCGGGCGUAGGUUGAUCAGUAAGAGGGGUGUGAAAUCCCCGGGCUUAACCUGAGAACUGCUGUCAUAACUGCUGUGCUAGAGUACGGUAGAGGGUAGUGGAAUUUCCUGUGUAGCGGUGAAAUGCGUAGAUAUAGGAAGGAACACCAGUGGCGAAGGCGACUACCUGGACUGAUACUGACACUGAGGUGCGAAAGCGUGGGGAGCAAAC
rnacentral:rRNA from 1 species